rnacentral:lncRNA from 1 species
GCUAUGCUGCUCUUCCCUUGUUCAAGAGAAAGCGAGGACUUUCUUUUAGCUACCGGUCCAAACAAAAGAGAUUAGCCUCUUGAUCGAUCGAUUGAUUGGAUCGAAGUACGAAGGGGUUGAUUGAAGUUUGAGAUCAGCCCAAGACUAAGGCCAAACAACUAGCUGCUGCAGGAUUGGACAUCUAUCUAUCUGACCACGCUCCCCUACUCCUAUAAAGGCCGGCG